GUUACUGUAGUUGAAUUACAACGGUGGUUUUUCGUAUCACUAGUCUAGGUGGAAGACCUAGCAGGAACU
rnacentral:tRNA from 1 species